UUCUCCAGCUCCAUCCCGCCAUCCCUCGCCCUUCCUCGCCUCCCUCUUCCUCCCUGCUCUCCCCCGCCUGUGAAACAAGAAGGCUUUGUCUGCUCGCCCCGUUCAGAGCAGCACGAAUGGCCUGAACUUUCCCUGAGUGAGUUUUUCCCCUCCAGCAGGAUUUUGUGCUGUGCCGAUGCCAGGGAUUAACUAAGAGCAUGACUCAACGAACCAGUUCAGACCAAGCAAGAACAACCCUUCAUUUUUCUUCCAAGACUCUGGCUCAGCCCAGCACAGGCUGUUCUGAAGCAUUAGAAAAGGGCAGUUAAGUUGAAAUAUGACUUUUUAAACAGUUUAUUACUUUUCCUGUCCUUUGUGUUGCAGCUGAUAUGGGAGGAUGAUGGAAACACAGUCGAGGAGAUCGUUCCAAGAGCUGCUUCCAAGCCUGAGAGCCCCGGUGCUGCCAAGAGCUCACCAGGAACAACCCACACUGCUUGGGAUUGCCCAGGUGGGAUCCCACGUGUGCACUGCUCAUCCUGGAUAAGAAACAUCCUGGAGACAUUGGUGAGGCCCUGGCACAGGGUGCCCAGAGAAGCUGUGGCUGCCCCUGGAUCCCUGGCAGUGCCCAAGGCCAGGCUGGAUGGGGUUUGGAGCAGCCUGGGAUGGUGGAAAAUGUCCAGGCUCACGGCAGGGUGAAGAAGGAAACUUUCUGCUUCCAAACAACCAGCGCUUUCUGUUCAGCAGUGACCUCAGUGGGAAGAAAAAUUGCUGCACAAAAGGGACGGGGAGCUGACGCCAGGAGCAAAACCCCGGCGCUGGUCCCACGAGUGGUUCUGGGUGGGUCCAGACAAAGAGUUUUUCAGAGCUUUUGUAAAAAUAGUGGAAUAAAAAUCCCUCAAAAAUCUGGCUUGCCUUUUUUCUUCUUUUUUUCUUUUUUGAGAACUCCAGAGCGCCGUUGGUUACACCAGAACCUUCCUGGCUUGGCCACUACAGCAGAAAUAUCCAGAUCUUUCGCAUUUAGUCAUCUCUCUGGGCUUCUUUUGCUCCCU